rnacentral:rRNA from 1 species
CUACGGGCCGCUGCAGUGGGGAAUAUUGGACAAUGGGCGCAAGCCUGAUCCAGCAAUUCCGCGUGGAUGAUGAAUGCUUUCGGGUUGUAAAGUCCUUUCAGCAGGGAAGAAGCAAGUGACGGUACCUGCAGAAGAAGCCACGGCUAAUUACGUGCCAGCAGCCGCGGUAAGACGUAAGUGGCAAGCGUUAUCCGGAAUCACUGGGCGUAAAGGGCAUGUAGGCGGCUAAACAAGUCAGAAGUGAAAAGUCUGGGCUCAACCGAGGCCUUGCUUUUGAAACUGUUUAGCUAGAGUACAGGAGAGGAGGGCGGAACUACUAGUGUAGCGGUGAAAUGCGUAGAUAUUAGUAGGAAUGCCAAUGACGAAGGUAGCUCUCUGGACUGAUACUGACGCUGAGGUGCGAAAGCUAGGGGAGCAAACAGGAUUAGAUACCCCGGUAGUC